CCUUCUUUAGUAAACUGAAUGCUUUGAGCUCACCGAUAAUAAAUGGCAUUUUGGCCCCAUAAAUAAGGACUUCUAAGUAUUACGUGGCAUAUAUAAAGGGAGAUUACAUGAUAAGUCACCUCAUCGAUAAACUAACUGAUAACAGCAAAUCCAAAAGUACAUUGUUGAUUAACUUGAUGUCCUAAAUCUUUGUGAAUCCAACCUAACAAG
rnacentral:lncRNA from 1 species